rnacentral:rRNA from 1 species
UACGGGGGGGGGAAGCGUUGUUCUGAAUUACUGGGCGUAAAGGGCUCGUAGGCGGCCAACUAAGUCAUACGUGAAAUCCCUCAGCUUAACUGGGGAACUGCGUGUGAUACUGGAUGGCUUGGAUUUGGGAGAGGGAUGCGGAAUUCCAGGUGUAGCGGUGAAAUGCGUAGAUAUCUGGAGGAACACCGGUGGCGAAGGCGGCAUCCUGGACCGGCAUUGACGCUGAGGAGCGAAAGCCAGGGGAGCAAACGGG